rfam:Microgenomates bacterium GW2011_GWB1_45_17 TX00_C0002, whole genome shotgun sequence.
GUAUGAUGAAAGUAAUAACAUCAAAUGUCUGUACAGAAGUCUGCAGAUACCAUAGUAUGCCUUUCCAUUUCAGGGAGGCAGAAGGGU